rnacentral:rRNA from 1 species
UGCGACCCCAGGUCAGGCGGGACUACCCGCUGAGUUUAAGCAUAUCAAUAAGCGGAAGAAACUG